ensembl:lncRNA NR4A1AS NR4A1 antisense RNA
UUCCAACUACAUGUCUAUUUUUUAUUCAAUAUAUUAAAUAUAUUAAUCAGAAAAGUCACAUACUAUAAAUCCAGGAAAAUACACAAAUAUAAAUGUCAGAAUCUGUCAUUUGUCUUCUUCCUAGAGUGACAGUUUAUGUACAUGUGGAAGGAGGGUAGGAAGAGAGAGCCAGCAGGAGGCUGGAAAGGCUGCCCAGGAAGGCGGGGCCCAUCCCUUCCUCCCAGCCCCGCUCCCACCUCAAGCUCUUUCUUCCUGUAUUUACAGCAGCACUGGGCUUAUUUACAGCACGGCGCUAUGUGUUAAAAACGGUUUAUCUUACAAAAAACAUAAAGGCCGGGGCCAGGCUGGGGGGGAUAAGACAAAUCGUGGGGUCACCCCCAUGAAGGCAUCCCCCUCCCCAAGGGCUUGGGGGUGCUCUGGGGGUCCGUGGACUAAAGGCACAUGGGGUGGCAUAUGAGAGUGCGCAUGUGCACACGUGUUCCCAGGCAGGGGUCAGAAGGGCAGCGUGUCCAUGAAGAUCUUGUCAAUGAUGGGUGGAGGGGGCACCAAGUCCUCCAGCUUGAGGUAGAAGAUGCGCUGCAGGCCCUGGGUGCACAGGGUCCGCAGCUCGGGCAGUUUGCCCAACAGACGUGACAGGCAGCUGGCUGGCUGGGGCUCGCCCGCCACAGCUGCCACGUGCUCCUUCAG